UCCCUCUUGCCUCUAGGAGCAGGCUAGGAGGCGGGGGAGGGGGAUUCAUCUAAGGCAGAGCAUGGAGAGAACCCAAAUCUGAGGGGGAGGCUGGAGUUUCUGGUACAAGAGGAGGCGCCGGGACGGGCUGGCCGCCGGGGGAAUCCAGCGCCGGGCCGCAGCGGGCACCGCCGCCCCUGUCAUCUCGCGCCGCGGGCCAUUGUACGGAUCUAUCAUAGGCCAGAUUAGGUACGGGGUUGGGGCAGUAUAUAUAAGCCGUCAACAUGCAGACAGCAUUAAUUUGGGGGAAAUAAGCAUGGCACAUGAUGUGUUCCCCAGAAUAAAAAAUUUCACGGUGGAUAAAAUUAGAACCAUGAUCAAUGCCGACAAAAGGCCAAUGGAUUCAACAAAGAACGGAGAUUUCAUUUUUGGCAUUUCAGCACCACGAGAUGCUGCUAGUUCAGCAUAUUCUAGGGCAGAUGACGACUAUAAUGCACAACAAGAAGGGGAUGCUUGGGCAUGUGCAUGGAAGAUUUGUGAUUCUAUGGGCCUGACACAUCAGGUGACACUCCUGAUGCAGUUUCGAGUGAACGUUAGGGUGUGACAAAUUAAAGUCUCUUGUGGGCAUAGUUUGCCUGAGACUGUUUCUGUUGGGGCCCAAGUGUUUGUAUCAUAAAGAUCUAGAUUGGCUAUGUGGACCUAUAUAUUAAGUCGUCAAACCAUGGAAUGAUUUCGAAGGUCAAGUACAAACUACUGUCUGCGGACAUGACCGAAAUAUAAGUUGCUUGGUAUGGA